GACGAACGCUGGCGGCGUGCUUAACACAUGCAAGUCGAACGGUGAAGCGCCUUCCUUUUUGGUGGGUGUGGAUGAGUGGCGAACGGGUGAGUAACACGUGAGUAACCUGCCCCCUUCUUCUGGAUAACCGCAUGAAAGUGUGGCUAAUACGGGAUAUUCUGGGUCUGUCGCAUGAUGGGUCUGGGAAAGAUAUUGUUUCGGUGGGGGAUGGGCUCGCGGCCUAUCAGCUUGUUGGUGGGGUGAUGGCCUACCAAGGCGGUGACGGGUAGCCGGCCUGAGAGGGUGGCCGGCCACACUGGGACUGAGACACGGCCCGGACUCCUACGGGAGGCAGCAGUGGGGAAUAUUGCACAAUGGGCGCAAGCCUGAUGCAGCGACGCCGCGUGAGGGAUGGAGGCCUUCGGGUUGUGAACCUCUUUCGCCAGUGAAGCAGGCCUGCCUCGUUUGUGGGUGGGUUGACGGUAGCUGGAUAAGAAGCGCCGGCUAACUACGUG
rnacentral:rRNA from 1 species